GCUGGGAUGACAGAGUGGACAAUUGUAACGGUCUGUAAAACCGUCGCCCGUUCGGGCUACGCAGGUUCGAAUCCUGCUCCCAGCA
rnacentral:tRNA from 1 species